rnacentral:rRNA from 1 species
GAUGAACGCUGGCGGCGUGCCUAAUACAUGCAAGUCGAGCGAACGGACGAGAAGCUGGCGUCUCUGAGGUUAGAGGCGGACGGGUGAGUAACACGUGGAUAACCUACCUAUAAGACUGGGAGAACUUCGGGAAACCGGAGCUAAUACCGGAGAAUAUUUUGAACCACAUGGUUCAAAAUUUAAAUACGGUCUUGGUGUCGCUUAUAGAUGGAACCGCGCUGCAUUAGCUAGUUGGUAAGGUAACGGCUUACCAAGGCAACGAUGCAUAGCCGACCUGAGAGCGUGAAGGGCCAGACUGGAACGGAGGCACGGUCCAGACUCCUACGGGAGGCAGCAGUAGGGACUACUCCGCGCAGGGCGAAAGCCUGACGGAGAAACGCCGAGUGAGUGACGAAGGUCUUCGGAUCGUAAAACUCUGUUAUUAGGGAAGAACAUCUGUGUAAGUAGCUGUGAACAUCUUGACGGUACCUAAUCAGACAGCCACGGCUAACUCCGUG